rnacentral:lncRNA from 1 species
AGGACUAGGCGCGUGCCACGCGCUGCUGCUCCAGCCAGCCCUGCGUCCUCAACGUCCCAGUUUCUUCCUUCGAGCCCCGGGAGUGGUAUCGGCGGGAGUUCCGCCCUGCGCGUGGCAGGGAGGGUGGUGCUGGGCCCUGUGCAUUUCCGCUAGGCAAACCCGAGCCCGCGCGACUUGUCUGGUACGCCCAGAGGCCCCUUCGUGGCCAGGGCGGCUGAUUCCCAGCGGUUCCCAGCACGGGGCAGAGGAGGAGGGCGUUGCGGGGUGGAGGCGAGAUCCGGAAGUAGGCCUCUAUCAUUGCACACUCUGACAAGCCUCUUCAUUGGAACUGAACCUGAUUUUUUUUUUACGACGCCUGCCCUAGUUUCAGAUUUUUUUUACACUUGAUCUUAGAAGACUGAGAAGCGAUAGUUCCAAAUCUUUUAAUAAACAGACAUGCUCAUUAAUGAGGUGCUGGACACAUUACAGCCCUACUGAGAACCAGGCAGAGAGGGAACCCAGAAAGUCCAGACGGGUUGCUGAUUAGCACACGAUUCAGAUCCUGUACACGUGUCCCAGGCUACCAGACUCCCUCCCUUCCCCUGCCAACCAGGAACCAGCCUGACUACAAUUACUUACUAUGGAAUGCCCAUCAGUCACAUGGUAUAGAGCCAGCUCCCUCCUCUGAAAUGUAUAAGAAGGGACAUUAUUGUGCCACAUGGGCCUACACUCCCUUCAGGGUACCCACAGUUGUCUUUCAGUCAAUCAAAAUUGUCAACUCGAUUAAUAAAUCUUUGACCCGAAGAGCCA